GCUGAGGGGGGCGCCCGCCCCUCACGGCCGGCCCGGCGACGCCGCCAGUGGGCAGAAGCCCAGGAGCAAGGGAGACACCUCGAGCCCCUGGAAGCGGUUUUAUCCCCUCGCACACCAUGAACCGCCUCAGCCCUUGCUGCGGUUAAAAUAAAAAUCCUCGUUGCGGGCCCCGGCGUUAAGCAGCUUAAAACGUUGUCAAGCCAAGAGGAAAGAAGAGAAAUAUUUCCAGUGAAUAAAAGAGUCUGCGCGCAAAGAGGAGAAAAUGCAGGUUACUGAGCUGGGCCUGUGUGGGUCACAUUUCAGCUGUCCCUUCUCCCUAACGCCUAAAGAGAGAUCAUGCAAAGAUCUAUUUCUUCCCUGCUUGAAGGAAAGCCACAAAUCACCUUUUUAG
rnacentral:lncRNA from 1 species